rnacentral:rRNA from 1 species
CAAUUUGGGAAAAGUCCCUUGGAAAAGGGCAGCAUAGAGGGUGAUACUCCCGUCUUUGCUCAGAUUGUCUGUGUGUACGAUACGCUUUCUUUGAGUCGAGUUGUUUGGGAAUACAGCUCAAAGUAGGUGGUAAAUUCCAUCUAAAGCUAAAUAUUGGUGCGAGACCGAUAGCGAACAAGUACCGUGAGGGAAAGAUGAAAAGAACUUUGAAAAGAGAGUUAAAGAGUACCUGAAACUGUUGAAAGGGAACCGUAACAUGUCCAGUGUUGUAUCUUGUGCAUAUUUCACUAGUGGAGUAAUUUACUGGUGCCCUGUGCAUGAGUGUGACGUCAAAGUCAGUUUGUACAUUGCGGGAGAUGGUUCAUGAGGAGGUGCGUCACUUUUGUGUCAGUUAUACCUUGUGAUCUAGUAGCCGUGGUGGAGACUGAGGUGCCUACAACAUGCUUUUCAAGUAUAUGUUUGUCUCGUUGUGUUCGUUGUUUGGAUAGCUUGCUAUGCUAAUGAUAGAAGAUGGCKAUGGAUAGAUAUAUGAACUUGUUGCUGUUCGGGACUUUGACGAAAUGGUAUGUUACGACCCGUCUUGAAACACGGACCAAGGAGUCUAACAUGUGUGCAAGUAUUAGGGUGUGGAAACCCAAAUGCGUAAUGAAAGUAAAUGCUACCUGUGUAGCUUUGGUAGGAAAGGGCUGUCAUGGUCCUGGCACUAUCGACCGAUCAUGAACCUCCGGGUGAAAGAUUUGAGUAUGAGCAUAUAUGUUGGUACCCGAAAGAUGGUGAACUAUGCCUGAAUAGAGUGAAGCCAGGGGAAACUCUGGUGGAAGCUCGUAGCGAUUCUGACGUGCAAAUCGAUCGUCAAAUUUGGGUAUAGGGGCGAAAGACUAAUCGAACCAUCUAGUAGCUGGUUCCCUCCGAAAUUUCCCUCAGGAUAG